CAAAAGAAAACACAGGUUUAAAAUGUGAGCCCAUUAAGCUUCUAUUACAGAAAAUAAAACUCUGCUGUUAAUGCCAUGACUUACAGAUGUUCUUUAUUAUUUUUAAUUUGAACAGCCUAGAGAAGCAGCUCAGAAUAAAAUUACUUUAAAUUUUAUAAUAUUUGGGACACCUUAGUCAGUUUGCUCCCCUCUCAGGCUCCCACUACACAUAUUUUGCACAUUAAGAUAUACCACAAACAAACAAGAAUGUAAUGUAAAGGAUGUAGAUUCCAAACCAUCUGAGGAAACCAUUGGCAAAUAUCUGACAUCUUUGUGGCUCAAACUGUGACAAAUGCCAGGAAUCUCUGCUGCAGACAGUGUGUUUGUCAGUUUUUUUCUGAAGAGACUGAGUGGCGCAGUGGUCUAUAGCCUUAUUCUCUGAAGAAUUCCCAUAAUUUUCCAUAUUUACUAAAAAUAUGCAGAGUAUUACUUACUCAACUUAAGAAGGCAAGGGUUAAAACUUCUAAUGCUAACAUUUUGAUGAUCAGGGCUUGACGUGGUUGGCCAAUCUGAGGCCACAGGGGGAUUCUUUCUGGUCUCAACUAACAGCAGUACCAUGGUUUUAUGUAAUUUGGAGAUGGGGAAAAAGAAAGGAAAAUGCUCUUCUCCUCAAGCUGUGAGCAUUUCCUUUCACAAUGAACCAAUUUUACAGAGAGUUAGGCUGUUUGCUGACCUCACUGCUAACUCCCGGACACUUUACAUCAGUGUAAUCUUUGGAGGCUGUGUACAGAAGGGAUAAGAACUUGGCAGAGUAAUGCGACAGUGAAGAAGAGAAAUGGCACUGGGGUGGGUGGGAAUUGUCUCUCUUGCAGAAUCCUUCCUAUCCAAUCUAGUUAAAGAACUCCGCUGGGGCCAGCCUCUGCAGAUGGGGAGACUGUGGUCUUACUUUGCCGCCUGCACUGCAGACCUACAAGGGGCAGUUAUGCUGCUAGGCAGCAAGCAAGAGCCAAAGAAAGCCAAGAGGGACUGUGGAGGCACAAAGCGAAUGUGCCUGUGACAUAACUUGGGAACCUGAUGGCUCUGGGGGACUAGCUCUGUUUGUUCUUUGGGAGGGGGCCAAACCUCACCUCUCUCCCCAGUGAAAUGACUCAGUGGAAACAGUUGCCUGUUUUGUGAGUGGAGAGGAGAGGAGAGGAAGGGUGGGGGAAGAAAUCUGGCCAUUUGGGUACUUGGUUUAAAAAAAAGUGCAGAUGCUAUGAGCCUGAUUUUCAGAUGUAAAUUCUAUGAACAAUUGUGCGAGCACCUGGAGCCAGACGUGCACCUACUCUCCAUGCACGUUUGCAGUAAUGCACACACAAAGUAAGCGCUGGCAAAUGCAUACAUAAUUUCAAUCUCAAAAUCAAACCCAAAUCAUUUUAACAUGAAUCAUAAAUCCCUGCCCCAACUCUUUCCCCCAUUUGAUGUAAUGCGUUCCCAUAAGGUUGUAUAUUAUCAGGGAGGGGAGCCCUGUAAGAGGGUGAGUGUGAGGGCAAGCUGUUUUUUUUUGUUUUUUUCCAAUUUUAAAGUGAAUUUCACAUAGAUUUUACAACAAGGAAUGACAUUUACAAUCAUCGAGUCUGAUCUCCUGCACAACACAGACCAGGGAACCUCACCCAAUAAUUUCUGGAUGACAGUCCUGGAGAGUAAAGUCCUAUUUAGACAAAGAACAAUUAGAUCUUGGAGAGCAGCAGUGUUUCCCCUGUGCUGCCCCACCAAUACACUUCCACUCUCCCCUGGAGGGAUUAACUCUAAGGCCGUUGAGGUAGCAGAGCGUCAAAUCUCAUUCACUCUGCUGAGACUGCCAAAAAGGGGGCCAACUGAGAUGUGACCACUUGUCCAUUAGGUGCUUUUGGGGGAGGUUGGGAGGGGGGACAGUAAAUAGUUAGUGAAAAGUAGCACUUAGAAACCUGAGAGUACGAAGUAGACAAAGGAAGACUGUAGACAGGUGCUGCCCAUACUCAAUAUGUCAGGCAACAAAUCUCAGCUCUAACCUAUACAGAGAAUGAUACUUGCCUGGUGGUUUUGGAAUGAGGAUAAGAGGUCCCAGACAAACGCUGAGACAACAAAUACAAUUUCACUUGUGACCUGAGCCUGGUUUGAAAUUCAGAGUUCAGAGGUGAACUUCUGAUAGAUUAUUAUACCAUCUGAGACCUUUCUAUUUUGUUUUCAAAUGCUUCUCCCAUAAACCAUGACAGAAAAGGCAUCAAAAAUAAAAAAACAAAAUGAUUUAUAUGUGAAACACUUCUGAACAUGCCCUUUAAGUACAGUGACUGUUCCCCUUGGAGCCACACCCUGUAAGUGCUGUAUUUUGGGAGCCGAACAAUUAACAUAAGGAGUAUGAGUCAGUCUCUGAACGACUCUGUGGGAACUAGAAAGCCUUUUGCUAUUAGGAGUAAAGUAAACUCCCUAAGCCUGGAAUAAGUCCACAAUAGAAGGCAGAAAAGGUCAUAAAUAACAAUUGUGGACACUACAUAUACCAAUAAGACACUCAACUAAUAUUGGUGAUAUUUCCUUUAUGUUCUCUAUUAGACCUAAUCAUUUUAGUUAAUUUAAAAAAAAUUAAAACACACUGUAUGUUUUGGGAAUACUAUUUAUUUCCUAUGGGAACUUCAAGGCUGGUUGAGGAAAGAAAAAAGGCUAAUCUACUCUCAUCCUGUCUAGUAAUCCCAAAUUCCUUUUAGCCAGUGAAAUAAUGAAAGAAAAAUAUUCCAGGCAUAAAAAGGAGGACAGAAGAAGCAGACAUCAUAUAAACAAUGACACAGUGACAGAGAAAAACGUCAAAGUGCCGCCAAACUUGUGACAUGACUCUGAAAAAGCUGCGGGAAAUGGGGGUUGCUGCUAACAAAUUAAAACCAGAUUUCUUGGCAAAUUGUUAAAGAAAGAUAUUUACAUUUGUAUGGAGACUGGGUGGGCACAAAAGAUUAAAAUGCUUCUUUAGCCCUUGAACUGUCAAGCCCCAUUAGAAAUCUUGUGUUCUUAAAAUUCUAGGGUCAGCUCACUCCUUUUUGUCACUAAAUCUUGGCAUGUGAGACCCUUCAGAAAUCAGGCUUACAGAGAAAGAAAAGUUAUUACUUACAAGUAGAGUUCUCUGAAGUUAGUAUUACGUACAUGUAUUCUACUCUUAGCCACAUACAUGGCUUCUACCACCUCACUUCAGCUGGCAAUACGCAGUUCUAUUUAACUAAGACUUUUGCACAGAGGCAAAACUAUUAGGCAUGCAUCAUCCGUGCUUCAAGGUCUUAUUAAACACCACUUCCGAUUGUCUAACCAUCAAUUCUUUUCCAUGUAACACUAAUUUAGAGCGAAACAGCUUGCAAAAGCAAGGAAGCUAAGUGACUGGCAUCCACAGCUAAUUACAGAAGAGUCUAGUUUACAGACAUUUAACAUGGGUUUGCUAAAGGAACUAUUUAUGGAGCCACACUUCUGAAAACAUCUCUACAGCUAAUUAUCCCAAAGGAGACAGAAAGGGUUUGGCACAUAGGAACU